UUUUAUUUUAUGUAUUAGCCAAUGUUACUACGUUGGUAUUUUCUCUGAACAUACAUGGUAUUUGAUGAGAAUAGGGAGGCGCUACUAUUUUGAAAACAAGUUUAAGACUAUAUAAUAGGGUUAUACAUAUAAAAUAGUUAUCUUUAAAAAUGGUUUGUGUAGUUUGACCCGCCUUUCAGCUAACUGAAAACGGGCGCUUGUCAUGGGCUCUGCUCCAGUAAAGAGUUUUGAAAAAUUAUAGUGAUAUAGAUUAAGCAUGAGAAUAUUAGUAGAGAUAAAAAGAAGUGCCAGCAAUCGCGGUUAAACUAUUCCUACUAGCCAACGCACUCAAAUCGUAUAAAAGUGACGUAAAGAAAAAAACUUAGAAUUGUGCUUGGAAAUGGUAAAAUAUUCCAUAUUUAAGCUAUAAAAUAUAGCUUAAUAUAUUACUACCUUAUUAUGGUUUUAAAAAUAUAAUCUAACAAGGCUGUCAAAUAAGACGGGGAUUUGUACCCCUCUAUUAAAGCUUUAUUUUUGAUAUACGGGUACUACGGGCUAUAUGCUUAAAAACCGAAGGGGUUGGCGGUGUUUCAAAUCCGGUUAGGGGAACUUGGCGAUUAAAUCGAUAAUCCUCGAGUAUUUCACCUUUAGUGUUCUUUAUAUACCGCCGUUGAGGACUGCUCUAAAAAGGGAAGAACUUACACUAAAAAUAUGAGCUAAAUAGAUGUACUAGCUUUUUAGUUAUAGCCUUAUAGCAAUUCAGGUAAACGUGUAGGAUCUAAAGGGUUUAGCUGAGUUACAAUUUAUGUUAAACGCAGAUAUAAGUAGUAGUUAACUUAUUGAAGUUGUACUUGUUAGUAAAAACUAAUUAGAAUGGAGUUUUGAAUAGAGUUAUGAGACGCGUACAAAUCGCCCGGCGCCCUUAUAUUAAAAUUAAGGUAAGUCGUAACAUAGUAAUGUUAGUAGAAACUGGUGUUAAGUAAAGCACACAAAUAAGUAUUUUUAUAAGAUACCGUUCUUAAUUGGUAAGUGGUUUAAAUAUGUAAACUCUGGAAAGUUUAUAAAUCAUUUCUAAAGUC
rnacentral:rRNA from 1 species